rnacentral:lncRNA from 10 species
GGAAAACGCCACGUGAAGAUGAAGAUGGAGGUCAGAGUGACGCAUCUAAAAGCCAAGGAAGGCCCAAAAUUUCCAGCAACGGCCAGAAGCUGGGACAGAGACCAGGAACAGCUUCUCCUCCAUAGCCUUUGGAAGGAACCAGCCCUGGUGACACCUUGAUCUCAGACUCCCAGCCUCCAAAUCUAUGAGACAUGCAUUUCCAUCCUUUAAGCACCUCCAGUCUGUGGUGCUUUGUUACAACAGCCCUAGAGAACUAAGGCAGUAUACUGGAAGGUGACAAAUUGAAAAGAAAAGACACAGUUGAGGUGGUCAAGAGGAACUGCAGAGGCUAAAGGCAGUGGGGAGGACCUGGUGUGGGGUGGAACAGAUCUUUGUGGACAGCCCUGAAAAGGGGGUGUUGAACAAAGACUUGGGGACAUGCAGGAAACCAGGGCCAGCCUCAGAAGGCAGAAUGGCUGGGCAGUUCCAGUUGGAUGCCCCCAUCCCAGUCUCCACAAGCAAGGUGACUGCAGCAUUCCCAGGCCAGCAAGGACGCUUGGCAGCCGGCACUUCUCCCCUUGAAGCAGAGGCCAUGGGCUUGCUGUGCCUUCCUGGCCUCAGGGGCACUCAGGGGCAGCCUAUUCAAAUGCACAGCAAUAUGUUUCACUGUCUCCAGAGGGUUGCUGAAAUCCUACAGAACCUAUAAGGAGGCACUUAGCAUAUUUUGUAUUUAUAGAGAGGCUUUCUACCAACAAUCUGUGCAGCACAGGUCUCAUUUCAUUAAUCCUCGCAGCAGGGGUGUAGAUGGUUGGGAACAAUUGUCAAUUUUACCUAAUGUUGAGACAGAGCUGCAGAGAGGUUAAAUGACUUGCCUAAGGCUACAUGAUGAGACAGUACCAGAGUCAAGAUUAGAGCCCUGGAAUCUUGACUUCUGGUCUACUAUCUUACACCUUUCUUCAGAAAUAGCAUAAUAAAAAGUGCACUAAAUUUGAGAGUUUAAUUUUCUUUGUGACAUUCAGCAUGUCACUUAACCUCUCCCUGCCCCAGUGUCUGAAUCCAUAAAAUGGGGAUAAUAAUACUUGUCCUAUAGCUUGUCACAGAAAUAUUAUGAAUAUUAAUCUUUUUAGUGAUUAGACCGUUUGGAAAUAGCUGCCAUAUAAAUUCAAGGUUUAAGUUAAGGUCACAGACAACUACGUGUAUAUUAUCAAAUGAAAUACAGAAAUGCAUUGAUUUUAUUUCAAUGGUAGUAAAAUAUAUAUAACAAUGAUAGCAAGGUUUUUGAAGAUAUUCAUUUGAUUUACCAACAUGGUGUUGAUUUUCUAAUGAUUAUAUGAGGGUAUUGCAAAAUGGCUUAAAUUUUUAACGUCUAAUCUUUUUCCAAAACCAUCUUCCCAAACGCUUAGUUUUCUGUAAGUGGUAGAACCUGAUUUAUUUUUCAGAUAAAAUAUACUAGGUUUACUUGUUUUGUGAAAUCACAUUUGUAAUAAAAAGAAACAAAGGAAGAACAUGGGAAAGGUUUUGCAAUUUAGUUCCUUUCCCCCAUAUCUUUGCUCAAAGUCCAAUAUCCCCUGUAACUACUAAAAUGGUGGUGAAAUUUGGAUUUAUUUCCCACUUCCCAGGUCUGGUCUAGUCCUCCACAUUAUCCUGAGCAAAGUACUCAAGAGUUAAUGGAGUCCAUGGUAGAGUGUUUGCUUCUUCUGUUUGAAAUCAAACAUCUGAUCUUUAUCUGCAGUGACAGGUUUAAUGCCUUUCUUCUCUGACAAAUUUUCAGUUGAAGAGGAAUGCAAACACUGGUAUCGGGACAGUUGUAUAAAGGCCUAAUCUGAGCAAGCCCAUAUUGGCAGUUUGAUCCUUAAUGAACAGCAGAACCCUGAAGGGGCCCCACUUGCCAGAAGAGAAAAAAACAAAACAAAAAACAUCGAAGCAGAAACCUCUGUAUACUUUUUCCAGCACCUCCAUGGCUGUGCUUGGAUCUGGCAGGGGAGAGACAUAACAGGGAAUUUUAGCUCAGAAGUGUCAGCAUUCUCCUUUACCCCUCCCAGGGAUGGAGGGCAUGCAGUCACUCAGGAAGCAAAUGAAACAGGAGAGAGAACCAGGUCAAAAAAGGCCUCAAGAACUAACUGGGUUUCCCCCUGACCCUUAGAGGGCUCUGCCAUGUGAAAAGUGCUGAAUUCUGUGUUCCUCUUUGGGAACCUAAUACUCUGAACAGUGAAUGUGCCUACCAUGUUUAGGCCUAAUGUAUUAAUGAACUUGGCUGACUUGGGGAACUUUCCAGAGAGUACUUUAAACUUCCCUAUCGGGCAACAUGAGGGUAUCCAGAGAGGCUCCUCAGGAAAGGGAGAAAGGGGAACUUGCUACAGAACUAGAAUAUUCCAAGCACGCCUGAGAUAGGCCCAGUGCUGUCAAAUAUUGUAUUUCACAUGUGGGGAAUUUAUCACUAUCAUGAUAAAUGGGAAUGUUUUAAGUCAAUGUAGCCAAUUCUUCUUGUUUGUUUGUUUGUUUUUGAGACACAGUCUCCGUCUGUCACCCAGGCUAGAGUGCAGUGGUGUGAUCUCCACUCAUUGCAACUUCGACCUCCCGGGUUCAAGCAAUUCUCCUGCCUCAGCCUCCUGAGUAGCUGGGAUUACAGGCGCGUGCCACCACGCCCAGCUAAGUUUUGUAUUUUUAAUAGAGAUGGGGUUUCACCAUGUUGCUCAGGCUGGUCUCGAGCUCCUGAGCUCAAAGUGAUCCACCCGCCUCGGCCUCUCAAAGUGCUGGGAUUACUGCCGUGAGCCACCGCACACAGAUGAGUCAAUUCUUUUCUAUUGCAUUAAAAUUCAUGUGAUACAGAAGAAACUUGAAAGAAAAUAGAUGGUAGGAAUUUCUGACUGUGACUGGCAUAUAAAAUUCUGUAGAGAAAAUUUACAUCCUAACCUCUUGUUGCCCUGAUACAGUAUGAACCAAUAUAACCAUUAGUACCACGUAAAAUUGAAACUAAAAUUUGAAAAAAUAUUUUGUAUAUAGUCUAAAAUAUAGUACGGUCUUUGAUAUUUGUUCAUUGGUGGCAUGACUUUUGCCUUUCUUGUUCUUCCCCCCUCCUCCAUCAAUCACUUACAUUUUAGCUAUUAUUUAUUGAAUGUUUACAUAUUCAUUAAAUGCUCAGUAUGUGCAAAGUGAACUGUUUAGCUCUACUAGGAAGGAAGACAAAGAUGGGUGAGAAAUGGGAAAAAAUUAGACUUUGACCAGAGUCUUCUAAUGAAGCCAAUGCAUUUUGAUCACAGAGCUCUUAGAUAAGAUUCCUCUGGUUGGUGGAAACCCAUAGACCUGAUGGUCAUUCAACCUCAUUUCCAACUGAUGGGCUUCUGGCUCCCUCUGCACCUGUGACUUUGGAGUAUUGUCACAGGCGUAUACCUGUGUAUUGUAUUUGGCAUAUACCUUCUCAGGGAGUCUUGGGUCUUAGUUGGAGUAAGAAGUAAAUUCUAAAGUCUUUUUUUUUUUGUAAUAAUGGCAAGCUGACCCUUCGUCUAAUCUAAUCACACCUCACAUCAGGUUAAUUUGUAAAUCAAUCUUUUUACAUUAUUAAUCACAGAAAACUAGAUUUAGUACCAUGCAGCUUGGUUAAUCCUCCUACAACUCAGCCUGUCAAACCUCAGGCCCUCUCUAUUCCUCCAUUGUGUUCUCUGGAGCUCAGAAUCCACCUUAGUGGAGCCUAGGGAACCACAACCACUGCAGAGAAGUCAGAUCCAUCGUCCUUGAAGACUGACCCUCCAGCUUCUUUUUGUGGCCCUGUGUUGAGCUUGUUCACCUGUCUAAAGAACACAAGACCUCUUGCUGAGGCAGCGGCUUUGGUAAGCAAAUGCCUUCAACUCAACUCGGGUCAGAUUAAGACGUUCUCAGGAAGCAAGAUAAUUCCUGUUCUGGAUGAGUGUUUUCAGCACCGCCUGCAGGUAGGGUGGCGCAGGCAGAGGAGCCAUGGCUGAGGACUUCCUGUGGUGUGGCCUGGUGUGUCCUCAUCCAGAUGUGCCUUUCUUUGGGAUGUGAACUGCAAGGUCUGCACCCUGGAUGCUUAUCCAAUGGAUGUUGUGUCUCCUCUGUGUUCACAUGUGGUGUGGUCUGGGGGCCCCUACACAACCUGCUUGACUGAACAUAUUCUUCAACUUACUGCUCCCUGCAACUAGCAUGCCCCUGAACAGGGGUCUCAAAUCAAGGAUUAUAUUUUUCCUUAUCUUAUAGACCUCAAAUACUGGAGGCAGACAGGUGUCUUCUUUGCUCCCUAUUUAACUUAAGAUCAUUUCUCCUACUUCAAACUCCUAUCUUAUUGGAGACACCGGUUAUUGGCCACCAUGUUUGCAGUCAUCCUCCAAACCCCCAGCAACUCCUCUCCCUCAUUAAUGGAUUUAGGACUUGGAACACUCAUUUUCUCUCCAUGAUGGCAACUGUCAUCAUGGGUGGCAGCUUGAGCAUUCGUCCACAUAGCUAACUCCCCAUGCUCACCUUUCCUGGCUCAACCCUCAGCUAAACCAUCUUUUUAUUCUAUUUGCUCAGCCAGCCAGUCACAUGGGCCUGUUUGAAGCUGUGUAAUUUCUGGCAGCUUCACUACCUUAGAAAUCUUGCCUCUAGGGAUUCUCUUCUCUGACAUACUCCUCUUGACUGUUCUCCAACAGCACCCUGACCUCCGUGGAGGCUCCGCACCUGUCUACUGACCACAGUGGUUUUCUCCACCAGCAAGUCCUCUUCACACCCUCACUUCUCUCUUUAUCCACCUUAUUUUCUGUGCACCUUAAAAUCAUCCUUAAUAUCCCUGCUGCAUUCUUCCUUGGAAGCAAUAUUAGUACUCUAAAAGCUCUCUACCUAAAUAUUGCUGAAGACAAAAAUCAUUCAACCAUGCAAACUGGACUCACGUUAAAUUUACAACAAAUCUUAAAGGGCACUCAGAAUCAUCAGAGGACCCUACAAUGCCUUCUAUUCUCUGCAAUGACGAUUUUACAAUUUACUCUUUCCUCCAGCCUAACACCCAUUUCCCUGUACACCACCGGCUCAUGACCUUGUUGCAUAUCAGAGAGAAAACGAGGCUUCUCGGAGAAGAUGUGCCUGCCUUUCCUCCACCAAACCCAAGCCCGUCUUGCUG